rnacentral:tRNA from 1 species
GCCUCUGUAGCUCAGCUGGUAGAGCAGCGCUCUCGUAAAGCGCAGGUCGCCGGUUCGAAUCCGGCCAGAGGCU